ACCAACUAUGUAUUAUAAAAAAAGGUAUACAAUACAUUUUUAUAUAUGUCUCUUUUUUGUUCAAUAUACAAAAUAAAAACAAUAUUAUCCUCGAAGAACGUUCAAUGUGCCUUUUUUAUAAAAAGGUAAAGUAAGUACAUCAUUUGCUGCCAUUGGAGGAAUAGAGAACCAGGUACUAAAACCAUACGAGAUUAAAGGUCUUAUCAAUACAUCAGAAUUUUAGUACUAUGGGAUAGAUGCUUUAAAGGAAGUAAGGAGGAGUUCCUGAAACAAGUUAGCCCACAUUUUUCAGUUUUUUUUAAUCCCCAAGAUUUCAAAUACGAAGUUAAACUAGGUAAAGCAUUUUGUAAUUUUUUUGGCCUUACAGCAGCAGCAAAAACUUUUGUGUCAUCUGCAUACAGAAGUUCGGAUUCAGAUUUUGGUCCAAGUAAUGUUCCUUGAGCAACUCCUAAGAGUACUGGGAAAGGAUAUGAAAACUCCAAUCCAAUGACAAUAGACGCAGUUCUUGAA